GUGAGUGUGUACCACAUUAUGUGCCUGACCAAGGGGUGUCAAAGGUGUCCUGUGACAAUGUGCAAGAAAAGGUUUUUAGGGAGAGAGGGCUGAAUGAAUGUGUGUGCCAAUAUGUGCCUGAAGCAAAUGUAUCAGGUGGGCUGUAUGAAAGUGUGAAGGGAAAGCAUGGCUGUGAGGGAGGGCAGAGUGUGUGUGGGCCCUCAGCUAGUUCCCAAGGUUCUGUAUAUGUGAGGACAUGGAGUGAAAAUGAGGGAGAGACAGAGGUUCCAUCAGUAGCAAGGGAGACCCGUCCACGGCCUGCCCAAAGCGAGGGGCAGGGACAGACUCAGCCUGUGGUCCCAGGGAGAAUGUACAGGAAUGGCUGCUGGACCGGAACCCCAAAACAGCAUUGGAAGCGGGUAAGCUGGCAGAUGUCCACACUGCCAACCGAGCAACAGUGGACCGGAGCAUACUGAUGGCGGAACCAGGAACCUUGUCAGCUUAUCACAAUCACACCUCACAUAUACACACAAGUCAGCUAAGGAGCAGGAGUCUGUCUCUAAGCAACUUGUUGAUUCUGAACCAAAGGUUCAGAGUAAAAAGGUGCAACGAGACCACAAAAUAAACGAGAUAAGGAGUGUGGAUACAGCGCAGGUACACUGGGAGUGUCCUCUGUCUCAUCUUUUGUGUGCUUACAGGGGAGUACUGCAGAAAUCGGUUGGUUUCUUCCCCUUAGAGCUACUACACGGGCCAGUGGGUGUGGCCCAAGAGAUGUGAUCAGAGCGCAGUGGGAGAUGGAAACAGGCAAAUCAGGCAUGCGUGUUGUGGAUAUGGCUGUGAUAUGGCUUAGGGACAAAGGGCAAGCCUUUUUGGGGGAGGUGUGUGAACACGUUAGGGCUACCCCAUUCAUGGAGAAUCAGAGUUAUGAACAAGAUGAGUGUAUGAGGUGGAGGCAAAAAGGAACGAGUGUUGAUACGCAAGGUAGAGGCAUGUGAGCCUUCUCCCAUUGCGUCUAAUAUUUGGGGGAGGUGUCACGGCAAGGGUGUAUAAUUUAUUAUUACACCAUGGAAUAUCAUCUUUUAAUGUAAUUUGUGUAGUAAAUGGCACAAAUUACAGAGAAGCUAUUGCUGAGGUCAACAGGAGUUACAUCUUUUGAAGCUGGGACCCCCACAGAGGUCAGAUGACAGAAGGGGUAAUGUGAAUGGCAUAGGAAUGUGAAAAGGAUUUUACUAUAUGGAUGUGAAGUAAUAAAAGCUCUGCAAGGUGUGAGGUUCUACACUUGGAAAAAGUCUGAAUGUCUCUUCAUCCAUUUGGCAUGUACCUUGUAAGGGAUGAGUAAAUCUCUUUGACAUGUAAAUGCCACUAGCUUUGUUCUAGUAUCAUAUCCAAAGGAAGGACAAAAAACAUUCAUAUUUACCCCCACAGAAUAAUAAUAAAGCCUCAUUUUUGUUAUAUUUGGAAUGUGACAAGCGCCAUCUUCUAACCAAGUCCAAACAUGAGUGGCCUAACUUGAUCCUAGGGAAAGGAAUUGUGAUGUCCGUCCUAUAAGAUCGUGGGUGGGACGUGCAACAUGUCUAUGGAAUGGGAAAAUAAUAACAAUUUUGUAGAUGCAAUUAUUAUUUCUGUGGCAGGUACAAAAAAGAAGAUAGAGUCAAAUGUUUCCAUUUGGAUUGACAGUGGUCUGGAACAAAGGAGGUGGUCAGUUAUUAUUACUGUAGGUAUGCCUUAACUCCACCCUUGGGCUAGACUUGAUAAACCACAGGGUAUAUAUCUAAUGAUCCUGAAGGGUGUUUGUGUACUUGCUUGGGGCCAAGAUCUAAUUUUGAGUGAGUCACCAUCUUUCCUUGCCAGAGACCCCCUGGACAGAAGUUGUACUUUGAAAACCUAAGUGAGUAAUUAGGACUUCUGUAUUUUAUCCUUUUUGUUUUUAUCUGUUGUUGG